AGAGUUUGAUCCUGGCUCAGAACGAACGCUGGCGGCAGGCUUAACACAUGCAAGUCGAACGCCCCGCAAGGGGAGUGGCGCACGGGUGAGUAACGCGUGGGAACAUACCUUAGAGUCGGGAAUAACAGCGGGAAACUGCUGCUAAUACUCGAUAUUCUCUCCGGAGGAAAGAUUUAUCGCUCUAAGAUUGGCCCGCGUCAGAUUAGCUAGUUGGUGAGGUAAUGGCUCACCAAGGCUCCGAUCUGUAGCUGGUCUGAGAGGACGACCAGCCACACUGGAACUGAGACACGGUCCAGACUCCUACGGGAGGCAGCAGUGGGGAAUAUUGGACAAUGGGCGAAAGCCUGAUCCAGCCAUGCCGCGUGAAUGAUGAAGGCCUUAGGGUUGUAAAGUUCUUUUGUCAGGGAAGAUAAUGACGGUACCUGAAGAAUAAGCACCGGCUAACUUCGUGCCAGCAGCCGCGGUAAUACGAAGGGUGCUAGCGUUGUUCGGAAUUACUGGGCGUAAAGAGCGCGUAGGCGGUUAUACAAGUCAGGGGUGAAAUCCCGGAGCUUAACUCCGGAACUGCCUUUGAAACUGUAUAGCUGGAGUAUGUGAGGGGAUAGCGGAAUUCUUAAUGUAGAGGUGAAAUUCGUAGAUAUUAAGAGGAACACCGGUGGCGAAGGCGGCUAUCUGGCACAUAACUGACGCUGAGGCGCGAAAGCGUGGGGAUCAAACAGGAUUAGAUACCCUAGUAGUCC
rnacentral:rRNA from 1 species